AUUGAACGCUGGCGGCAUGCUUUACACAUGCAAGUCGGACGGUAGAGGGGGCAACCCCUUGAGAGUGGCGAACGGGUGAGUAAUGCAUCGGAACGUGCCCAGUCGUGGGGGAUAAUGCAGCGAAAGCUGUGCUAAUACCGCAUACGAUCUCUGGAUGAAAGCGGGGGACCGAAAGGCCUCGCGCGAUUGGAGCGGCCGAUGUCAGAUUAGGUAGUUGGUGGGGUAAGGGCUCACCAAGCCAACGAUCUGUAGCUGGUCUGAGAGGACGACCAGCCACACUGGGACUGAGACACGGCCCAGACUCCUACGGGAGGCAGCAGUGGGGAAUUUUGGACAAUGGGCGCAAGCCUGAUCCAGCAAUGCCGCGUGCAGGAAGAAGGCCUUCGGGUUGUAAACUGCUUUUGUACGGAACGAAAAGGUCUGGGUUAAUACCCUGGGCACAUGACGGUACCGUAAGAAUAAGCACCGGCUAACUACGUGCCAGCAGCCGCCGUAA
rnacentral:rRNA from 1 species